rnacentral:rRNA from 1 species
AUUGAACGCUGGCGGCAUGCUUUACACAUGCAAGUCGAACGGUAACAGGCCUUCGGGUGCUGACGAGUGGCGAACGGGUGAGUAAUGCAUCGGAACGUACCCAGAGGUGGGGGAUAACGCAGCGAAAGCUGUGCUAAUACCGCAUGUGAUCUGAGGAUGAAAGCGGGGGACCGAGCAGCAAUGUUUGGCCUCGCGCCUUUGGAGCGGCCGAUGUCGGAUUAGCUAGUUGGUGGGGUAAAGGCCUACCAAGGCGACGAUCCGUAGCUGGUCUGAGAGGACGACCAGCCAAACUGGGACUGAGACACGGCCCAGACUCCUACGGGAGGCAGCAGUGGGGAAUGUUGGACAAUGGGCGCAAGCCUGAUCCAGCAAUGCCGCGUGCGGGAAGAAGGCCUUCGGGUUGUAAACCGCUUUUGGCAGGAACGAAACGGUGUCCGCUAAUACCGGGCGCUAAUGACGGUACCUGCAGAAUAAGCACCGGCUAACUACGUG